rnacentral:rRNA from 1 species
GGCGGCGUGCCUAAUACAUGCAAGUCGAGCGGACGAUUCAAAAGCUUGCUUUUGGAUCGUUAGCGGCGGACGGGUGAGUAACACGUGGGCAACCUGCCCUGUAGACGGGGAUAACACCGAGAAAUCGGUGCUAAUACCGGAUAACACGGAAGACCGCAUGGUUUUUCGUUGAAAGGCGGCGCAAGCUGUCGCUACAGGAUGGGCCCGCGGCGCAUUAGCUAGUUGGUGAGGUAACGGCUCACCAAGGCGACGAUGCGUAGCCGACCUGAGAGGGUGAUCGGCCACACUGGGACUGAGACACGGCCCAGACUCCUACGGGAGGCAGCAGUAGGGAAUCUUCCGCAAUGGACGAAAGUCUGACGGAGCAACGCCGCGUGAGCGAAGAAGGCCUUCGGGUCGUAAAGCUCUGUUGUUAGGGAAGAACAAGUACCGCAGUCACUGGCGGUACCUUGACGGUACCUAACGAGAAAGCCACGGCUAACUACGUGCCAGCAGCCGCGGUAAUACGUAUGUGGCAAGCGUUGUCCGGAAUUAUUGGGCGUAAAGCGCGCGCAGGCGGUUCCUUAAGUCUGAUGUGAAAGCCCGCGGCUCAACCGUGGAGGGUCAUUGGAAACUG